rnacentral:rRNA from 1 species
UACGUAGGGUGCAAGCGUUAAUCGGAAUUACUGGGCGUAAAGCGUGCGCAGGCGGCUUUGCAAGACAGAUGUGAAAUCCCCGGGCUCAACCUGGGAAUUGCAUUUGUGACUGCACGGCUAGAGUGUGUCAGAGGGGGGUAGAAUUCCACGUGUAGCAGUGAAAUGCGUAGAGAUGUGGAGGAAUACCGAUGGCGAAGGCAGCCCCCUGGGAUAACACUGACGCUCAUG